UCCUGGCUCAGAUUGAACGCUGGCGGCAGGCCUAACACAAGCAAGUCGAGCGGUAGAGAGAAGCUUGCUUCUCUUGAGAGCGGCGGACGGGUGAGUAAUGCCUAGGAAUCUGCCUGGUAGUGGGGGAUAACGUUCGGAAACGGACGCUAAUACCGCAUACGUCCUACGGGAGAAAGCAGGGGACCUUCGGGCCUUGCGCUAUCAGAUGAGCCUAGGUCGGAUUAGCUAGUUGGUGAGGUAAUGGCUCACCAAGGCGACGAUCCGUAACUGGUCUGAGAGGAUGAUCAGUCACACUGGAACUGAGACACGGUCCAGACUCCUACGGGAGGCAGCAGUGGGGAAUAUUGGACAAUGGGCGAAAGCCUGAUCCAGCCAUGCCGCGUGUGUGAAGAAGGUCUUCGGAUUGUAAAGCACUUUAAGUUGGGAGGAAGGGUUGUAGAUUAAUACUCUGCAAUUUUGACGUUACCGACAGAAUAAGCACCGGCUAACUCUGUGCCAGCAGCCGCGGUAAUACAGAGGGUGCAAGCGUUAAUCGGAAUUACUGGGCGUAAAGCGCGCGUAGGUGGUUUGUUAAGUUGGAUGUGAAAUCCCCGGGCUCAACCUGGGAACUGCAUUCAAAACUGACUGACUAGAGUAUGGUAGAGGGUGGUGGAAUUUCCUGUGUAGCGGUGAAAUGCGUAGAUAUAGGAAGGAACACCAGUGGCGAAGGCGACCACCUGGACUAAUACUGACACUGAGGUGCGAAAGCGUGGGGGAGCAACAGGAUUAGAUACCCUGGUAGUCACGCCGUAAACGAUGUCAACUAGCCGUUGGAAGCCUUGAGCUUUUAGUGGCGCAGCUAACGCAUUAAGUUGACCGCCUGGGGAGUACGGCCGCAAGGUUAAAACUCAAAUGAAUUGACGGGGGCCCGCACAAGCGGUGGAGCAUGUGGUUUAAUUCGAAGCAACGCGAAGAACCUUACCAGGCCUUGACAUCCAAUGAACUUUCUAGAGAUAGAUUGGUGCCUUCGGGAACAUUGAGACAGGUGCUGCAUGGCUGUCGUCAGCUCGUGUCGUGAGAUGUUGGGUUAAGUCCCGUAACGAGCGCAACCCUUGUCCUUAGUUACCAGCACGUUAUGGUGGGCACUCUAAGGAGACUGCCGGUGACAAACCGGAGGAAGGUGGGGAUGACGUCAAGUCAUCAUGGCCCUUACGGCCUGGGCUACACACGUGCUACAAUGGUCGGUACAGAGGGUUGCCAAGCCGCGAGGUGGAGCUAAUCCCAUAAAACCGAUCGUAGUCCGGAUCGCAGUCUGCAACUCGACUGCGUGAAGUCGGAAUCGCUAGUAAUCGCGAAUCAGAAUGUCGCGGUGAAUACGUUCCCGGGCCUUGUACACACCGCCCGUCACACCAUGGGAGUGGGUUGCACCAGAAGUAGCUAGUCUAACCUUCGGGAGGACGGUUACCACGGUGUGAUUCAUGACUGGGGUGAAGUCGUAACAAGGUAGCCGUAGGGGAACCUGCGGCUGGAUCACCUCCUUA
rnacentral:rRNA from 1 species